rnacentral:rRNA from 1 species
UGGGGAAUAUUGCACAGUGGGCGCAAGCCUGAUGCAGCCAUGCCGCGUGUGUGAAGAAGGCCUUCGGGUUGUAAAGCACUUUCAGCGAGGAGGAAGGGUUCAGUGUUAAUAGCACUGUUCAUUGACGUUACUCGCAGAAGAAGCACCGGCUAACUCCGUGCCAGCAGCCGCGGUAAUACGGAGGGUGCAAGCGUUAAUCGGAAUUACUGGGCGUAAAGCGCACGCAGGCGGUUUGUUAAGUCAGAUGUGAAAUCCCCGCGCUUAACGUGGGAACUGCAUUUGAAACUGGCAAGCUAGAGUCUUGUAGAGGGGGGUGAGAAUCCCCAGGUGUAGCGGUGAAAUGCGUAGAGAUCUGGAGGAAUACCGGUGGCGAAGGCGGCCCCCUGGACAAAGACUGACGCUCAGGUGCGAAAGCGUGGGGAGCAAAACAGGAUUAGAUACCCUGG